rnacentral:rRNA from 1 species
UACGUAGGGGGCAAGCGUUGUCCGGAUUUACUGGGCGUAAAGAGCGCGCAGGCGGUCGUUCAAGUCGCGUGUGAAAGCCCCCCGGCUCAACUGGGGAGGGUCACGCGAUACUGAUCGACUCGAAGGCAGGAGAGGGAAGUGGAAUUCCCGGUGUAGUGGUGAAAUGCGCAGAUAUCGGGAGGAACACCGGUGGCGAAGGCGGUUCUCUGGGCCUUACCUGACGCUGAGGAGCGAAAGCGUGGGGAGCGAACAGG